AGUGAACGCUGGCGGUAGGCCUAACACAUGCAAGUCGAACGGCAGCACAGUAAGAGCUUGCUCUUACGGGUGGCGAGUGGCGGACGGGUGAGGAAUACAUCGGAAUCUACUUUUUCGUGGGGGUUAAGGUGGGAAACCUACCCUUAUAACCCAUAAGACCCACCGGUUAAACCAGGGGAUCUUCGGGCCUCGCGCGGUUUGAUUGAGCCGAUUCCGGAUUAGCUAGUUGGCGGGGUAAAGGCCCACCAAGGCGACGAUCCGUAGCUGGUCUGAGAGGAUGAUCAGCCACACUGGAACUGAGACACGGUCCAGACUCCUACGGGAGGCAGCAGUGGGGAAUAUUGGACAAUGGGCGCAAGCCUGAUCCAGCCAUACCGCGUGGGUGAAGAAGGCCUUCGGGUUGUAAAGCCCUUUUGUUGGGAAAGAAAAGCAGCAGGUUAAUACCCCGCUGUUCUGACGGUACCCAAAGAAUAAGCACCGGCUAACUUCGUG
rnacentral:rRNA from 1 species